GACAUCAAUAAGGGAUCAUGGCUUUCACUUUUAUUCACCUGGUCAGUCUGUGUCGUGGAAAGAGCAGGUGUUCUUAAUGUUUUGUCCACUCAGUGUAUAUCUUCCAUCUGUAUAUUUCUGUUUCUCUUCCACUUUUUAUUUUAUUAUUUUAUUUACCUCAGAAAGCAUAUUGUUUGUUUUCGUCCAAGUCUUCCUUGACAGACCUGGUAUCCGCCCACCCUUGAAUUUCAUAAUGCUUUAGUGAGCGCAGUGCAGUUUGCUUUUCUACAGGCAACUAAGAUCAAAUCUCUUCGGCCCCUUCGUAUGUUUCUGUUUGGUCGACACCAAGAUGUUGAGUUGUACAGUUGUUGCUUUCAUCUCUGGUGGAAGGGAACUGCUAUUUGCUGCCUGCCUGGUUUUGAGGAAGUUUCACUCCACUUUAUGAAAAGAUUGUGGUGCUUACUAAACCUCCCUGGAGGUGGACGUUGAUCAGUAUGGAUCAUUAAGGAUUGAACUGUUUUGGAGUUGUGAAGACGCCUCUUGUUUGGCCAGAACAGGGCUGCGUUCACAACCCCAGCAUGAUACAAAGAUAUUGUGGUGUAAAAUGUUAAUAACCUUGUUUUGUUGAUCUCUGCUGUAAAGCUAAUAUCCACCCCUUUUGUAAAGCUGGCAGUGGAAUGUAUGUGAGAUUUGUAUCUUAUGUUCAUCUCUGUGUGAGAUGUUCUUCCAUACUAAUUGGAAAUAGUUUAGUGCUGUCAGGUCAGUCAGACACAAUGCAUGCCGUCUUUACAACUACAAUUAUUAUGGGGGUUCUUCAAUAUCCUGGUCACAAAUGGCACUCUAUCCCUUAUAUAGUUCACUACUGUUGACCAAGACCCAUAUAGCUCUGGUCAAAAGUAGUGCAUUAUAUAGGGAACAGGGAGCCAUUUGGGAUGCGUGACAGGUGAUGUUAUUUUAACCCUACUUCUGCUCCUUAGUUUUCUGGCUCCUGCUUUACUCUCUCUGUGUGAGAGGGCGAGAGUGGGGGGAGGGGGUGGGGGAGAGUGGGGGGAGGGGGGUGUGGAGAGAGAGGGAGAGUGGGGGGAGGGGGAUGGGGGUAGAGGUGUGUGUGUGUAGAGAGAGACUGCUUUUUGAAGUUUAACUGAAAUUUCCUGGAUGCCGAUUUAAGCCUAAUCCUGGAAUGAAAAGCUAUUUCAAUGUACAUUCUUCAGGACUAUGCUUAAUUGGUCUCCAGGAAACUGUCCCUAAGAGUUUGAACUCGAGGUCAUUAACCUAUUUUCAUGGUUUGAAAAGAGGCGAAGGUAAAUCCCCAGGGCAGUCGAUGCAGAGUACCAAUGGUCAUAGCCAGGGCCCGUAAAGCGUCUGAGUAGGAGUGCUGACCUGAGAUCAGUUUGAAUCAUAUGAAUAAGAUGUGGCAACUGAUCCUAGAUCAGCACUCCUAUACUGAGAUGCUUUAUGGAUUUAGUUUGGUCUUGUUCUUUCAGUAGAACAGGACGUCUCGCAAGAAGGACUUUGUGACUGAACUGUGCAUCGUUCAUAAAAUAGUGUUUUACAUUUUCUGAGUGGGCAGUAGAAGUGGCAUUGUAACCGGGGACGAGUAUUUUACUGACAUUUCAUCAUCUGUAAGAACUGACAGAUGCUCACAAAAACCUGUUAUUAUGCAUUUCAGCUUUGUAUAACAGACCGGUUUAGACCUAUGACCUCUGACCUGUGUUGAGGUUCCACAUUUUUAGCAAUGACUUCUCUUUUGACUUCUCUUUUUAAAUGCAAUUAUUUCUUUCCUACAAGCUAUUUCCUCAAGUUGUGACAAGGGUGCAACAUCAAAAUACGGCCACCUGAACAUUUAACAUGGAUCCAUUUGGUUUCAAAUGUAACUGUGGCUUCUAGCUUUCCUCGUUUCAGCUGCAGGGCGUGUCCUAAAUGGCUCCCUAUGUAGUGCAGGUCAAUAGUAGUGCAUUAUAUAGGGAAUAGGGUGCCAUUUGAGAAGCAUGGCGAUAUGUCACGUAGAACACUGAGACAACACUGUUCUUACCUGUGUCCAACGAGAGCUCUUUCAAUAAAGAAUCAACUCCUGUUUGAA